GACGAACGCUGGCGGCGUGCUUAACACAUGCAAGUCGAACGGAAAGGCCCUGCUUUUGUGGGGUGCUCGAGUGGCGAACGGGUGAGUAACACGUGAGUAACCUGCCCUUGACUUUGGGAUAACUUCAGGAAACUGGGGCUAAUACCGGAUAGGAGCUCCUGCUGCAUGGUGGGGGUUGGAAAGUUUCGGCGGUUGGGUCUGGACUCGCGGCUUAUCAGCUUGUUUGUGGGGUAGUGGUUUACCAAGCCUUUGACGGGUAGCCGGCCUGGGAGGGUGACCGGCCACAUUGGUACUGAGAUACGGACCAGAAUCCUACGGGACGCAGCAGUGGGGAAUAUUGCACAAUGGGCGGAAGCCUGAUGCAGAAACGCCGCGUGCGGGAUGACGGCCUUCGGGUUGUAAACCGCUUUCGCCUGUGACGAAGCGUGAGUGACGGUAAUGGGUAAAGAAGCACCGGCUAACUACGUG
rnacentral:rRNA from 1 species